rnacentral:rRNA from 1 species
UACAGAGGGUGCAAGCGUUGUUCGGAAUUAUUGGGCGUAAAGGGAGUGUAGGCGGUUGCCUAAGUCUUCUGUGAAAUCUACGGGCUUAGCCUGUAACGUGCAGAGGAAACUGGGUGACUUGAGUGUCGGAGAGGAUAGGGGAAUACCCGGUGUAGCGGUGAAAUGCGCAGAUAUCAGGAAGAACACCCGUGGCUAAGGCGGCUCUCUAGUACGGUACUGACGCUGAGACGCGAAAGCGUGGGGAGCGAACAGG